rnacentral:rRNA from 1 species
AGAGUUUGAUCAUGGCUCAGGAUGAACGCUGGCGGCGUGCUUAACACAUGCAAGUCGAACGAAGCAGCUUCUGCUUGCAAGAGAGUUGACUUAGUGGCGGACGGGUGAGUAACGCGUGGGUAACCUGCCUCAUACAGGGGGAUAACAGUUGGAAACGACUGCUAAGACCGCAUAACCCGCUAGUGUCGCAUGACACGGACGGAAAAUAUUUAUAGGUAUGAGAUGGGCCCGCGUCUGAUUAGCUAGUUGGUAAGGUAACGGCUUACCAAGGCGACGAUCAGUAGCCGACUUGAGAGAGUGAUCGGCCACAUUGGGACUGAGACACGGCCCAAACUCCUACGGGAGGCAGCAGUGGGGAAUAUUGGACAAUGGGGGAAACCCUGAUCCAGCCGACGCCGCGUGAGUGAAGAAGUAUUUCGGUAUGUAAAGCUCUAUCAGCAGGGAAGAUAAUGACAGUACCUGACUAAGAAGCCCCGGCUAACUACGUGCCAGCCGCCGC